rnacentral:tRNA from 1 species
GAGGGUAUAGCUCAAGUGGUAGAGCGCAUGCUUAGCAUGCAGAAGGUCCUGGGUUCAAUCCCCAGUACCUCCU